GAUGAACGCUGGCGGCGUGCCUAAUACAUGCAAGUCGAGCGAACAGACGAGGAGCUUGCUCCUCUGACGUUAGCGGCGGACGGGUGAGUAACACGUGGAUAACCUACCUAUAAGACUGGGAUAACUUCGUGAAACCGGAGCUAAUACCGGAUAAUAUAUUGAACCGCAUGGUUCAAUAGUGAAAGACGGUUUUGCUGUCACUUAUAGAUGGAUCCGCGCCGCAUUAGCUAGUUGGUAAGGUAACGGCUUACCAAGGCAACGAUGCGUAGCCGACCUGAGAGGGUGAUCGGCCACACUGGAACUGAGACACGGUCCAGACUCCUACGGGAGGCAGCAGUAGGGAAUAUUCCGCAAUGGGCGAAAGCCUGACGCAGCAACGCCGCGUGAGUGAUGAAGGUCUUCGGAUCGUAAAACUCUGUUAUUAGGGAAGAACAAAUGUGUAAGUAACUAUGCACGUCUUGACGGUACCUAAUCAGAAAGCCCCGGCUAACUACGUG
rnacentral:rRNA from 1 species